CCCAGACUCCUACGGGAGGCAGCAGUGAGGAAUAUUGGUCAGUGGGCGGAAGCCUGAACCAGCCAAGUCGCGUGAGGGAAUAAGGCCCUACGGGUCGUAAACCUCUUUUGCCGGGGAGCAAGGGCCGGGACGCGUCCCGGCCCGGAGAGUACCCGGAGAAAAAGCAUCGGCUAACUCCGUGCCAGCAGCCGCGGUAAUACGGAGGAUGCGAGCGUUAUCCGGAUUUAUUGGGUUUAAAGGGUGCGUAGGCGGGCUUUUAAGUCAGCGGUAAAAAUUCGGGGCUCAACCCCGUCCGGCCGUUGAAACUGGGGGCCUUGAGUGGGCGAGAAGAAGGCGGAAUGCGUGGUGUAGCGGUGAAAUGCAUAGACAUCACGCAGAACCCCGAUUGCGAAGGCAGCCUGCCGGCGCCCUACUGACGCUGAGGCACGAAAGUGCGGGGAUCGAACAGGAUUAGAUUCCAU
rnacentral:rRNA from 1 species